rnacentral:lncRNA from 1 species
CCCGACCGCCUUUGUCUGCUGCCCUCGCCCGAGGGCCGGAGCGCCUGGGCUGCGGCCUGCCCGCGCGGGCAGCGAUGGCGCCUCCAGCCAGCGCGGCUGGUCUCCCUUCCCCAGCUCGCGGCUCUCGGGCCCUUCCUCAGGGACAGCAGUGAGCUUCAGCCCGUGAGUUAACCACGGCCGCCGCAGAGCCCCCAGAGAGCGGCGAGACAGGAUCGGAGGCAGCUUCUGAACCGCUUCUCACACAGAUCUGUUAGCUUCACACCUAGCGCUCACCCCGCCAGCCCAGCCCAUGAAAAGCAAGCUUGGGUGCUUGUUCACGUGGGCUAACAUGGUCCUGCGAUCGCUUCGUCAGCAGAAACAACUUGACUCAAAUUCUUGUUUCAGAAUGAACACCCAUGCAUUUUUGGUAAAGAUUUUAUUUGCCAAACAUUUUCUCAUCUCUAAAGGAAGUUCAUAGACCUGUAUAAACUUUGACAAGCAAAGGUGAUCUCUGACCCUUGCGAUAAUGGAGUCACAGCAGAGACAAAAGUCCCAAUGUCACAGCUCCCACCCAAGGAUGUUUUUUUGGUUACUGAUCUGUUUGCAAGUCCAGAGUAGACAGAUGACUCCAGUGCCAUACAGAUGUGCCAGACAGAGGAUGGAACAGUGCCACAGGACUACUUUGCUUGCUGUGGCAGGAAUACAAAUUGGCGAUGGAUUUUGUGCUAAAUGCAACCAGCCCCAAUGGACCCCACCUCCAACUGCAGUGUUUGAGUGCAUUACUGUUGAGCCACUGAAUCGCCAAAUAAAUAAGCCUCUUGGGCAACAGCAGACUGUAAUCAGUGGCCAUUGCUUAACUCAAGCAUUUGGAGUGUUUCUGUCAGCUUCAAAUCAAAAUGCCACUGACUUAAUAUCAUCUUGCUCAUUGCUGGGUUCUCCAUGCAAAGCAGCACCUCUUCAUGAUGCUGAGACAAGCAGCUCAGGUGCCAUAAAAACAAGAAAUUUAGUCAUGAUGGGAGCAACUUGGCACAGGAAGACUGUCCAAAGAUUUCCCCACAGGGCAGGAAUAGCUAUUUCUCUUAUCAGGGAUGGUGGCUGGCGGUGGUGGCUGCACGCUCCUGUUCAGCUGCAUGAUGCAGCUCUGCUGAAAAUGAAGGUUUUGGAUCUGGUAACUCAGAACAGAGUCUGAUCCUGUAAGAAGCGAACACAGUACAUUCCUCUACAGACCUGAACUGCUUAAGACAUUUUUUUUUUUUCUCCAAUCAACCAAAACCUAAAUUCUUGCUCUGGGUCCAGAACAAGUUGAAAAUCCCAG